GACCAGUGGUUCUCAGCCAUGGAUGUUUCGGGGACGCCUUGUGGACCGGUGGAAGUGAUGGGGGACCAUAAAUUAAUGCAACAUGCAGCGUGAAAUAGUUGUAUUUCUGGUUGUGGCGCCACAUGUAUUUCUGGUUGUGGGCCGGAGCUUUGUCAAGCCGGAGUAUUGCGGCUUUUUUUUCCGUCACUCCCAUAUUUCUCGAUGAGAAAUAAAAAUGGAUUGAUUGAUUGAUUGAUUGAU